rnacentral:rRNA from 1 species
CAGUCGCCGCGGUAAAACGAGGGGGGCAAGCGUUGUUCGGAAUUAUUGGGCGUAAAGGGUGCGUAGGCGGCUUGACAAGUCUUGUGUGAAAUCUAUGGGCUCAACCCAUAGUCUGCACGGGAAACUGUCGGGCUUGAGAAUGGGAGAGGUGAGUGGAAUUUCCGGUGUAGCGGUGAAAUGCGUAGAUAUCGGAAGGAACACCUGUGGCGAAAGCGGCUCACUGGACCAUUUCUGACGCUGAUGCACGAAAGCUAGGGGAGCAAACAGGAUUAGAUACCCCCGUAGUCCCUGUCUCUUAUAC